rnacentral:rRNA from 1 species
GAGUUUGAUCGUGGCUCAGAUUGAACGCUGGCGGCAUGCCUUACACAUGCAAGUCGAACGGUAACAGGUCUUCGGAUGCUGACGAGUGGCGAACGGGUGAGUAAUACAUCGGAACGUGCCCGAUCGUGGGGGAGUAACGGAGCGAAAGACUUUGCUAAUACCGCCAUACGAUCUACGGAUGAAAGACAGGGACCGGCAAGGCCUUGCGCGGACGGAGCGGCCGAUGGCAGAUUAGGUAGUUGGUGGGAUAAAAGACUUACCAAGCCGACGAUCUGUAGCUGGUCUGAGAGGACGGACCAGCCACACUGGGAC